GCAGAGAGGAAGGCUGCCUGCAAGCAGCACAGGUCAAUGUGGCUGCAGGGAAGCUCAUCCUUUCUCAGAAUGGCCCUACUUGCCCGAUCUCAUGGCUGGCCCUUCAGGACCAUUGAUGGGCUGCCAGCCGCCUCCUCUACCGGGUGUUGUCUGGGAACUCAAACACUCCCUCCAUCUGAAGGUUUUCUGGGACCUCAACAAACUCCUCCACUGGAGUGUCCUCUGGGAACUCAAGCACCUCUUGCACUGGAGAGUCCCCUGAAAACUUAACCACCUCCUCCACUCGAUUGUUCUCCAGGGCCUCAUCCAGCUCCUGCAGCUGUCAGUCCUCUCAGACCUCAUCCACCUGCAGCUGUCAGUCCUCUCAGACCUCAUCAACCUGCAGCUGUC
ensembl:lncRNA novel transcript